UACGUAGGGAGCAAGCGUUGUUCGGAAUCAUUGGGCGUAAAGCGCGCGUAGGUGGCUUCGUAAGUCCGUUGUGAAAGUCAAAGGCUCAACCUUUGAAUGCCGAUGGAUACUGCGGAGCUAGAGUACGGAAGAGGCGAGUGGAAUUCCUGGUGUAGCGGUGGAAUGCGCAGAUAUCAGGAGGAACACCAAUAGCGAAGGCAGCUCGCUGGGACGUUACUGACACUAAGGCGCGAAAGCGUGGGGAGUGAACAGG
rnacentral:rRNA from 1 species